GAUGAACGCUGGCGGCGUGCCUAAUACAUGCAAGUCGAGCGAACAGACGAGGAGCUUGCUCCUCUGACGUUAGCGGCGGACGGGUGAGUAACACGUGUAUAACCUACCUAUAAGACUGGGAUAACUUCGGGAAACCGGAGCUAAUACCGGAUAAUAUAUUGAACCGCAUGGUUCAAUAGUGAAAGACGGUUUUGCUGUCACGUAUAGAUGGAUCCGCGCCGCAUUAGCUAGUUGGUAAGGUAACGGCUUACCAAGGCAACGAUGCGUAGCCGACCUGAGAGGGUGAUCGGCCACACUGGAGCUGGGACACGGUCCAGAGUCCUGCGGGAGGGAGCAGUCGGGAAUCUUCCGCAGUGGGCGAAAGCCUGACGGAGCAACGCCGCGUGAGUGAUGAAGGUCUUCGGAUCGUAAAACUCUGUUAUUAGGGAAAAACAAAUGUGUAAGUAACUAUGCACGUCUUGACGGUACCUGGUCAGAAAGCCACGGCUAACUACGUG
rnacentral:rRNA from 1 species